CAAUAGCGUAUAUUAAAGUUGUUGCGGUUAAAAAGCUCGUAGUUGGAUUUCUGUUGGGAACGACCGGUCCGCCCAUUGGGUGUGUAUCUGGCUUGUUCUCGGCAUCUUCUUGGUGAACGUUGCUGCACUUGACUGUGUGGAGCGCUACCCAGGACUUUUACUUUGAGGAAAUUAGAGUGUUUCAAGCAGGCAUAUGCCUUGAAUACAUCAGCAUGGAAUAAUAAGAUAGGACCUCGGUUCUAUUUUGUUGGUUUCUAGAGCUGAGGUAAUGAUUAAUAGGGAUAGUUGGGGGCAUUCGUAUUUAACUGUCGGAGGUGAAAUUCUUGGAUUUGUUAAAGACGGACUACUGCGAAAGCAUUUGCCAAGGAUGUUUUCAUUGA
rnacentral:rRNA from 1 species